AACUGAAGACGGAGAACUUCUUCAUCCAGAAUCUAGAUCCACAGCAAUCAUGACUUUCAUCAGCAUCUUUAUCUGGAUGUUCACUAGCUACUGUUUUAGAGAAUCCAGAUGUGCAGUGACAGUCACUCAAACACCUGCAGUGAAAUCUGUUCAUCUUGGAGACACAUUUACUAUCAGCUGUAAAACCAGUCCUGAAGUUUAUCAGGGUUGGGGUAAUCAGCCUCUUGCCUGGUAUCAGCAGAAACCUGGAGAAGCUCCUAAACUCCUCAUAUAUGCUGCAACAAACCGCUACACCGGAACUCCAUCUAGAUUCAGUGGCAGUGGAUCUAAAAGUGAUUUCACUCUGACCAUCAGUGGAGUCCAGACUGAAGAUGCAGGACAUUAUUACUGUCAGAGUGUACAUGAGAUCAGUGACAGUUAUGUGUUCACACAGUGAUAAAGAGUCGUACAAAAACCUCUGUCAGUCACACUGCACUGAUACACUGACAGAUACUGCAGCUGCUCACACACAUACACACACACACACACACACACACACACACACACACACACACACACACACACACAGACACACACACACACACACAGACACACACACACAAUGUUGGUUUUCCAUGUUUUAUGGGGAAUUUCCAUAAUGAUUUUUAUACUGUACAAACUGUAUUUUCUA